GUGGGGAAUAUUGGGCAAUGGGCGAAAGCCUGACCCAGCAACGCCGCGUGAAGGAAGAAGGUUUUCGGAUCGUAAACUUCUAUCCUUGGUGAAGAUAAUGACGGUAGCCAAGAAGGAAGCCCCGGCUAACUACGUGCCAGCAGCCGCGGUAAUACGUAGGGGUCAAGCGUUUUCCGGAAUGAUUGGGCGUAAAGGGCGCGUAGGCGGCCCGGUAAGUCUGAAGUGAAAGUCCUGCUUUUAAGGUGGGAAUUGCUUUGGAUACUGUCGGGCUUGAGUGCAGGAGAGGUAAGCGGAAUUCCCGGUGUAGCGGUGAAAUGCGUAGAGAUCGGGAGGAACACGAGUGGCGAAGGCGGCUUACUGGACUGUAACUGACGCUGAGGCGCGAAAGUGUGGGGAGCAAACAGGAUUAGAAACCCGGGUAGUCC
rnacentral:rRNA from 1 species